GGCAAUAGCUCAGUCGGUAGAGUAUUAGCUUCCCAAGCUGAGGGUCGCGAGUUCGAGUCUCGUUUGCC
rnacentral:tRNA from 1 species